GUGCUCGCUUCAGCUGCACAUAGACUAACGUUGCAACGACACAGGGAAGAUUAGCAUGGCCCCUGCACAAGGAUGACACGCAAACCUGGCUAGACCAGGGGAUGUAC